AUGUCUGUCAUUGGCUGUAAGCAGGCGCAACAGAAGCAGCCCCAGAGAUUAUAUCACCCAGUUUUAUCACCAUCAGGAUUCUCAUCAUCUGAGGAACAGUCCAGAGACCAAAGAAAGAAAGACGAGAUGGAGGCUGUGUUCUUACCAUAUUCUGCAGCUGUAAGAAAAGUUCAGAAGAAAUACUGCUUGGAAAUAAUUGUCGAUGCUGUCAACAACUUCCUCUCUGUGCAUGGACUUCUCAAAGGUUCUUGUUGA
rnacentral:lncRNA from 12 species